ACAUGCAAGUCGAACGAACUUAACCAUUAGUUUACUAUUGGAGCGGUUAGUGGCGGACUGGUGAGUAACACGUAAGCAACCUGCCUAUCAGAGGGGAACAACAGUUAGAAAUGACUGCUAAUACCGCAUAUGCCUUAGAAUCACAUGGUUCAAAAGGGAAAGGAGCAAUCCGCUGAUAGAUGGGCUUGCGUCUGAUUAGCUAGUUGGUGGGGUAAUGGCCUACCAAGGCGACGAUCAGUAGCCGAACUGAGAGGUUGAACGGCCACAUUGGGACUGAGAUACGGCCCAGACUCCUACGGGAGGCAGCAGUCGGGAAUAUUGCGCAAUGGAGGAAACUCUGACGCAGUGACGCCGCGUGCAGGAAGAAGGUUUUCGGAUUGUAAACUGCUUUAGACAGGGAAGAACAAAGACAGUACCUGUAGAAUAAGCUCCGGCUAACUACGUGCCAGCAGCCGCGGUAAUACGUAGGGAGCGAGCGUUAUCCGGAUUUAUUGGGUGUAAAGGGUGCGUAGACGGGAAGUCAAGUUAGUUGUGAAAUCCCUCGGCUUAACUGAGGAACUGCAACUAAAACUGAUUUUCUUGAGUACUGGAGAGGAAAGUGGAAUUCCUAGUGUAGCGGUGAAAUGCGUAGAUAUUAGGAGGAACACCGGUGGCGAAGGCGACUUUCUGGACAGAAACUGACGUUGAGGCACGAAAGUGUGGGGAGCAAACAGGAUUAGAUACCCUGGUAGUCCACACCGUAAACGAUGGAUACUAGGUGUAGGGGAUAUUAAAAUUCUCUGUGCCGCCGCUAACGCAAUAAGUAUCCCACCUGGGGAGUACGGCCGCAAGGUUGAAACUCAAAGGAAUUGACGGGGG
rnacentral:rRNA from 1 species